rnacentral:lncRNA from 1 species
AACUAAUCUUGGAACGAACUUGGCUAACUCCAUGAAUUUAGCUUCAUAUUCUGCAAUGGAUCUGUUCCCAUAUUUCAGAUGAAUGAACUCCUGCUCUUUCUGUAUUCCGACACUUCGAGAAAAGUACUUGUCAAAGAAUUCAUCUCAAAAUCUCUCCCAAGUGAGUGAUAUCCUAUCGUAUUCAUAUUUUUGUUCAAGUAUACGCCACCAGUUGUAUGCCUCGCAUUAUAACAGAUAUACUGUGUAGCGGAUCUUCUCUUCAUCGUGGCAUUCUUGCACGGCGAAUGCCUUCUCUAUUUUCAUAAUCCAGUUAUCUGCUUCCAGUGGCUCGAUGGUCCCUUUGAAGGCUGGAGGGGGUAGCUUCUUAAACUCGACGAUAUUAUUUCUCUGCAUCGGAUGUUCUCCAUGUCCAGGUGUCGGUGGAAGAUGCUGAUGUGGCUGUGCAUGUUGUUGUUGAAGUAACUGUUGCUGUGUUUGAACUACUUCGAUCAGAGUUUGCAUUAGUUGAGUCAUGUUCGGCUCUUCCUGUACUGUCGGAGUAUUUUCAGUAGGAUCAAUGAUUCCCUCCUGCUGAGAUGUGCCGCUAUUCAAUUGGGGAGUGUUAUCACCAAGUGGAAUUUGAUGUCCCUCCUACCGCUCCUUGAGUAUUCUUCAUUCGUCGUGGAG